rnacentral:rRNA from 1 species
AUACGUAGGGGGCGAGCGUUAUCCGGAUUCAUUGGGCGUAAAGCGCGCGUAGGCGGCCCGUUUGGUCGGGAGUUAAAUCCGGGGGCUCAACCCCCGCCCGCUCCCGAUACCGGCGGGCUUGGGUCUGGGAGGGGAAGGCGGGAUUCCAAAUGUAGCGGGGGGAUGCGCAGUAAUUUGGAAGAACACCGGUGGCGAAGGCGGCCUUCUGGGCCACGACGGACGCUGAGGCGCGAAAGCUAGGGGAGCGAACAGGAUUAGAUCCCCUGGUAGUCCUAGCCGUAAACGAUGGACACUAGGUGUGGGGGGAUGUGCCCUCCGUGCCGCAGCUAACGCAUUAAGUGUCCCGCCUGGGGAGUACGGCCGCAAGGCUAAAACUCAAAUGAAUUGACGGGG